GUCAGCUCGUGUCGUGAGAUGUUGGGUUAAGUCCCGCAACGAGCGCAACCCUUGAAUUUAGUUGCCAGCACUUCGGGUGGGCACUCUAGAUUGACUGCCGGUGACAAACCGGAGGAAGGCGGGGAUGACGUCAAAUCAUCAUGCCCCUUAUGACCUGGGCUACACACGUACUACAAUGGCCGGUACAACGGGCUGCGAAAGAGCGAUCUGGAGCUAAUCCUAUAAAGCCGGUCUCAGUUCGGAUUGGAGGCUGCAACUCGCCUCCAUGAAGUCGGAAUUGCUAGUAAUCGCGGAUCAGCAUGCCGCGGU
rnacentral:rRNA from 1 species